rnacentral:rRNA from 1 species
GUGCCAGCAGCCGCGGUAAUACGUAGGGGGCAAGCGUUGUCCGGAAUUAUUGGGCGUAAAGCGCGCGCAGGCGGCUUCUUAAGUCAGGUGUGAAAGCCCACGGCUCAACCGUGGAGGGCCACUUGAAACUGGGAAGCUUGAGUGCAGGAGAGGAGAGCGGAAUUCCACGUGUAGCGGUGAAAUGCGUAGAGAUGUGGAGGAACACCCGUGGCGAAGGCGGCUCUCUGGCCUGUAACUGACGCUGAGGCGCGAAAGCGUGGGGAGCGAACAGGAUUAGAAACCCUAGUAGUCCA